AGAGUUUGAUCCUGGCUCAGGAUAAACGCUGGCGGCGUGCCUAACACAUGCAAGUCGAACGUCCUUUUUUCUCGCGAGGGAAGAGAGGGAGUGGCGGACGGGUGAGUAACACAUGGGUACCUGCCUCACAGUGAGGAAUACCGGCGAGAAAUCGCCGACAAGACCGCAUAGGCUCGGCGGGGGACCCUCCGCUGAGCAAAGCUCUUUCGGGGGCGCUGUGAGAGGGGCCUGUGGCCGAUUAGCUAGCUGGUGGGGUAAGAGCCUACCAGGGCGAUGAUCGGUAGCUGGUCUGAGAGGACGAGCAGCCACACUGGGAUUGAGAACGGCCCAGACUCCUACGGGGGGCAGCAGUGAGGAAUUUUCCGCAAUGGGCGCAAGCCUGACGGAGCAACGCCGCGUGCAGGAGGACGGCCUUCGGGUUGUAAACUGCUUUUCUGCCGGACGAGUGAGGACGGUACGGCAGGAAGAAGCCCCGGCUAACUACGUGCCAGCAGCCGCGGUAAGACGUAGGGGGCGAGCGUUGUCCGGAGUUACUGGGCGUAAAGGGCGCGUAGGCGGUUUCUCGCGUAGCGGCCGACAGCCGGGGGCUUAACCCUCGGAGGUGUCGCUUGACGGGGAGACUGGAGGGCUACAGAGGAACUGGGAAGUCCGGGUGGAGCGGUGAAAUGCGUAGAGACCCGGAGGAACACCGAAGGCGAAGGCAAGGUUCUGGGUAGCCACUGACGCUGAGGCGCGAAAGCCAGGGGAGCGAACGGGAUUAGAUACCCCGGUAGUCCUGGCUGUAAACGAUGACCAUCAGGUGUGCGGGGGAUCGACCCCCUGCGUGCCGGAGCUAACGUGUUCAAUGGUCCGCCUGGGGAGUACGGUCGCAAGAUUAAAACUCAAAGGAAUUGACGGGGACCCGCACAAGCAGCGGAGCGUGUGGUUUAAUUCGAAGCAACGCAAAGAACCUUACCAGGGUUUGACAUGGAGUUGCACCAGGUAGAGAUACCUGUCCCUUCGGGGCGGCUCCACAGGUGCUGCAUGGCUGUCGUCAGCUCGUGCCGUGAGGUGUUGGGUUAAGUCCCGCAACGAGCGCAACCCCUGUUGCCGGUUGGAUAUGUCCGGCGAGACUGCCGCGAGCAACGCGGAGGAAGGUGGGGAUGAUGUCAAGUCAGCACGGCCCUGACAUCCUGGGCGACACACACGCUACAAUGGCCGGGACAACGAGAAGCCAACCAGCGAUGGGGAGCGGAUCUCCACAAACCCGGUCUCAGUGCAGAUUGCAGGCUGCAACCCGCCUGCAUGAAGGAGGAGUUGCUAGUAACCGUGCGUCAGCACAGCACGGUGAAUACGUUCCCGGGUCUUGUACACACCGCCCGUCACACCACGAAAGUCGGCAACACCUGAAGCCGCCKGGCUAACCCGCAGGGGAGGCWGGCGUCGA
rnacentral:rRNA from 1 species